GACGAACGCUGGCGGCGUGCUUAACACAUGCAAGUCGAACGAAGUGGCGAACGGGUGAGUAAUACGUGGGUAACCUGCCCCCCUUUUUGGGAUAAGCCUUGGAAACGGGGUCUAAUACCGACUAACGGGGGAUGGGCUCGCGGCCUAUCAGCUGGUUGGUGGGGUGAUGGCCUACCAAGGCGGUGACGGGUAGCCGGCCUAAGAGGGUGACCGGCAACAUUGGGACUGAGAUACGGCCCAGGCUCCUACGAGAGGGAGAAGUGGGGGAUAUUGCACAAUGGGCGAGAGCCUAAUGCGGGGACGCCGCGUAGGGGAUGAAGGCUUUCGGGUUGUAAACCUCUUUCGCUAUCGAAAGGGUAGGUGGAGAAGAAGCGCCGGCUAACUACGUGCCAGCAGCCGCGGUAAUAC
rnacentral:rRNA from 1 species